CCUCCAAACCUGUUUGUUUUUGUUUCCUGAUUUGUUUUUUUGUUUUUUUGUUCUCCCCCCCUUUUGUUGCAAGGCUUGAGUGUGGCAGGGGGCGUGGCUGUCUUCUUCCAGAGCAGAUGGGACACACCAGCAAUCAAUUCCUUCAUCAGCCUCUGUAUUUAGCCCUGGUCUUCUCACCACCACUUUGCCAGAUAAUUCCGUCCUGUUUGGUGUCUCCGUGGUUGUCUGCUGUUGCCUCUGGAGAAGUUGGCCAGCUCCCUGCCUCCUCAGCCUCCCUUCCGUUUGUAAAAUAAACUGUUAAAACUUGACUGAGUCCUGGCCCUGCUUUGGGGUCCCUCUUGCCAAACCUUAACAAAACCAUUGUAAAUCACACCAAGUCUGUUUAGAUAAGCCAGCUGGUUAUCUCCACAGUCCCAGUUCUGCAAAGGAAUUUGCUUAGAAGCACAUAGGUUACCCAUUAUGUAGCACAAUGGUACUAUUCAACAGAUAAGAUCUCAGUGUUUAAGCUUCAACUCAAUGUGUAACUUCAUUAAACAAUAUUUAAACCACCACUUGAUACAGCCUUCACUUGAUUAAAUAUUACCAAAGAACAAAUCAUUUUAGAGCUCAGGUAGAAAUACUUAAGUAACUUAAGUAUCUUUUUAUGAAAAUUGUAUUGUUGAGUAGUUUUCAGACACCACACUUUUACUCUUCCUUUAAUAGAAUCUUUUACAACAUAAAAUUUGACUGAAGUUUUGGUUUGGUUACUAAAUUAAAACUAAACCAGCUCUAAACAUAAAUGUAAACCUGGACUAGACCAGAACAGGGUCAAUCCAAGUCUAAAUCAGGACUAAAUGGGCUCAAUUUAGGACAAAAUAAGAAUAAAAGUAAAACUACAAGUGACAAAAAUGUUAUGGUGAUGAUAUGAAAAGAUUUUAACUUUUAUCGUAUAAACUGCCCACUAGUUUUAAGAAGAGAAUGUAUCAGGUCCAUCCUAGCCCAACUCCACUGGCUACCUGUUAAAUCCAGAAUUGAUUUUGAAAUUAAUUUUUAAAUUACUUAAUUUACUUGUCCCUUAAUAUAUCAUGGAUCUUCUAACCACACACACACUGCCCCUGGGACCCUCAGGUCAGACUAUGUCUGUCCCACCAUCCUGCUUCAAAGCCAAGAACAUUGAGCUUUUUUGAAGCUGUAAACUUCAGAUUUUUUUUAUAUGUAUUAUUUGAUCAUGUUUUAUUGUUUUACUGUGUGUCUUUGACUGCGUUUGUUGUUGUAAAGCACUUUGGUGCACGUUUUUACAAUUGUUUAGAAUGUGCUUUACAAAUAAAAUGACUUGACUAAAUAUUA